rnacentral:lncRNA from 1 species
AAAUACUUUUUAAACAGUUUAAAUUAUAGAAUAAUUUCUNUAAGAAAAAUAAACAGACAAAAAAUAAUUAAAGCAGAACCCAGGGGGAAGUGCCUCUAACGGACAGAGAUGGUCAUUAUUUUGAUCUAUUUCACGUUAUUAAAGGAGACGGCCCAGCCGGGGAAGACAGUCUUUGUGUCUGUUGCUUGGGGUAGGAUCUCUCUGAAGGAGCGCAUGUGACCUGGCACCAGCCUGCCUCUUCUGCAGGAGUCUCGGUCUGUGACAUGCUCAUGCCGUUUCUUCAAUUCCUUUAUUUGCGUAUUCCAUAGUAAUCUUUCUGUGCUGUUUUAGGCCCAUGGCCAGGUUCAAAAUUGUCGUCUUGACCAGCUAGUUUGGUCUACUUCCCUGAGUCCCAUGUUUUCCUCUUAGUUACUUUUCUCUUUUAAAAGGUCUACAUUUAGUUAUGUUGUGUGAGUGUGUGUAGGGGGACACAUGCACUGUGCAUGUGGAGGCCAGAGGAUGACCGUCUUCUCCUGUCCUGUGUGCCCUUGAGAUUGAACUUGCCGUGAGCCUCACCAGCCAUGGUCAUCCCUUUUCUUUGAUGUCAGCAUUUUUUGCUAAGUCUGCUUUCAGUUUUCUAAAGCACUUUUUAUUUUAACCUGUAAUUUUCAUUGUUCUUAUGCUUUAUAAGACAAAUCUGGAUAUAUUUAUGUAAUGCAUGUGACUUCUGGCAGGCACUUUGAUACUUUUAAUAAUGAUUUGAUUUGCUUGCAGUGAAUUGUCUUCUUUAAAUGAAGAAUACACUAAGAACAAAGGAGAGUAUGAGGAGGCCCAGGAUGCCAUUGUUAAAGAAAUCGUCAAUAUUUCCUCAGGCUACGUGGAGCCAAUGCAGACGCUCAAUGACGUGCUAGCUCACUUAGAUGCCGUCGUUAGUUUUGCUCAUGUGUCAAACGCAGCUCCUGUCC